rnacentral:misc_RNA from 1 species
AAGGACUACACGGGUAUCUAAUCCCCUUCGCUCCCCUAGCUUUCGUACCUCAGCGUCAGAAGAGACCCAGUAAGCCGCUUUCGCCACUGGUGUUCCUGAUGAUAUCAACGCAUUUCACCGCUCCACCAUCAGUUCCGCUUACCUCUGUCUCCCUCAAGCACUGCAGUAUCGGGCGCAGUUCCUCGGUUGGGCCGAGGGAUUUCACACCCGACUAACAGCGCCGCCUACGUACCCUUUAAGCCCAGUAAUUCCGAAUAACGUUUGGACGGUACGUAUUACCGCGGCUGCU